rnacentral:rRNA from 1 species
AUUGAACGCUGGCGGCAUGCCUUACACAUGCAAGUCGAACGGCAGCACGGGAGCUUGCUCCUGGUGGCAAGUGGCGAACGGGUGAGUAAUACAUCGGAACGUACCCUGAAGUGGGGGAUAACGUAGCGAAAGUUACGCUAAUACCGCAUAUUCUGUGAGCAGGAAAGAGGGGGAUCGCAAGACCUCUUGCUUUAGGAGCGGCCGAUGUCGGAUUAGCUAGUUGGUGAGGUAAAGGCUCACCAAGGCGACGAUCCGUAGCGGGUCUGAGAGGAUGAUCCGCCACACUGGGACUGAGACACGGCCCAGACUCCUACGGGAGGCAGCAGUGGGGAAUUUUGGACAAUGGGCGCAAGCCUGAUCCAGCCAUGCCGCGUGAGUGAAGAAGGCCUCGGUUGU